UGUUUUCCCAGGUGUGCUGGUUUAGAAUGGUGUUUUCCCAGGUGUGCUGGUUUAGAAUGGUGUUUUCCCCAGGUGUGCUGGUUUAGAAUGGUGUUUUCCCAGGUGUGCUGGUUUAGAAUGGUGUUUUCCCAGGUGUGCUGGUUUAGAAUGGUGUUUUCCCAGGUGGUCUGUUUAGAAUGGUGUUUUCCCAGGUGUGCUGGUUUAGAAUGGUGUUUUCCCAGGUGUGCUGGUUUAGAAUGGUGUUUUCCCAGGUGGUCUGUUUAGAAUGGUGUUUUCCCAGGUGUGCUGGUUUAGAAUGGUGUUUUCCCAGGUGUGCUGGUUUAGAAUGGUGUUUUCCCAGGUGGUCUGUUUAGAAUGGUGUUUUCCCAGGUGGUCUGUUUAGAAUGGUGUUUUCCCAGGUGUGCUGGUUAGAAUGGUGUUUUCCCAGGUGGUCUGUUUAGAAUGGUGUUUUCCCAGGUGGUCUGGUUAGAAUGGUGUUUUCCCAGGUGUGCUGGUUUAGAAUGGUGUUUUCCCAGGUGUGCUGGUUUAUAAUGGUGUU